rnacentral:rRNA from 1 species
CUUUUGAAUAGGCUCUGAGAUGAGCACACACCGCCCGUCACCCCCUCCUCUCAACUUCCAACUUAGUAUUUAACACAUUAACAUGAAUUCGGAGGGGCAAGUCGUAACAAGGUAAGUGUACCAGAAGGUGUACUUGGAACAA